rnacentral:sRNA from 1 species
GUCGUGAGAUGUUGGGUUAAGUCCCGCAACGAGCGCAACCCUUGUCGUUAAUUGCCAUCAUUUAGUUGGGCACUUUAACGAGACUGCCGGUGACAAACCGGAGGAAGGUGGGGAUGACGUCAAGUCCUCAUGGCCCUUAUGGGUAGGGCUUCACACGUAAUACAAUGGCCGGUACAGAGGGCUGCCAACCCGCGAGGGGGAGCUAAUCUCAGAAAGCCGGUCGUAGUCCGGAUUGUUCUCUGCAACUCGAGAGCAUGAAGUUGGAAUCGCUAGUAAUCGCGGAUCAGCAUGCCGCGGUGAAUACGUUCCCGGGUCUUGUACACACCGCCCGUCACACCAUGGGAGCGGGAUGUACCAGAAGCAGCUAGCCUAACCGCAAGGGGGGCGGUUGCCACGGUGCGUUUCGUGACUGGGGUGAAGUCGUAACAAGGUAGCCGUAUCGGAAGGUGCGGCUGGAUCACCUCCUUUCUCGGAAACACCCGGGUGUUUCAGUGCUCACGCUUAUCGGUUGUCGCUGGAGGCUGGUAGCGGCAAACUGGCGUUUGGACAAGCGUCUGCGGCGCGUGAGCGCGAGCCGCUUACGCUCGAGUCGCUGGUUUCCGGACCGGUUUCACGAGGGCCUGUAGCUCAGUUGGUUAGAGCACCGUCUUGAUAAGGCGGGGGUCGAUGGUUCGAAUCCAUCCAGACCCACCAACGCAUGCGGGGGCUGUAGCUCAGUUGGGAGAGCACCUGCUUUGCAAGCAGGGGGUCGUCGGUUCGAUCCCGUCCAGCUCCACCAACGUCGGGGCCAGCCACCCAGUCGUGCCGGCGGCACCAGAAUCCAUAGGCAAGUGGCGCUCGCGCCCCUUGCUUCUGGUUUUUCGAACCGCUGUCGUUUAUCGGUUGUUCUUUAACAAUACGGAAGAAGUAAAGCAAAUCCUGCUCGAAUGGCGGGAAGGAAGGCGCAAGCCUUUCGUCCGGCAACGACAGCAGGAUGGGUUAGAUUGUUAUCGACCCGCGGUUCCCUUGAGUUCGGGGGCGGCGGGUAGCGCAAACGCCCGUAGCCUGAGUCGAGGCAGUGCUCAGUGUUAUGGGGUCAAGCGACUAAGUGCAUGUGGUGGAUGCCUUGGCGAUCACAGGCGACGAAGGACGUGGCAGCCUGCGAAAAGCUGCGGGGAGCUGGCAAACGAGCAUUGAUCCGCAGAUGU